CUGGUUCCCUCCAAGAUUUUUCCACCUAAACCAAAUCCGGCUUCAAUUCCAUUUUCCCCCAAAUUCGCUACCUUCACCCUUUCUAGUGUUCUUCUAUCUCUAUAUCUUCCCCUCCAUAUCAGUAUAAACCUAGAAUUCACGCUUUUAUUUGUUGCUUUUCCUCUUUUGUUCUCUCGCUCCUCCUUUCUAACCGGCGAAACUGGCGAUGUUAAUAAACACCGGCGACCCUCGUUCUACAAAUCUAUCGGCGAAACUGCAUCAGCUAUGUUCUUGACAAUCAUCGAAGUCCCUCCUUCCAGUGCAAAAUAUUUGUUAGGCUACAAGUAAUUUGCCAGAUAGGGUGUGAUCUGGUGGUUUUCGUUGCAAUUCUAGUUGGGCAUGGAAGAUCUAAUCUUUAGUUGAUUCGUAUAGCCAAACUAAACUAUUGUCGGGUAUCACUUCAUUUUCUCCCAACUUUUAUUUUUAACAUUUUGUGUUUGGUAUUUUUGUUUCGUGUCUUGAAGUAUUGAUGUGAAUUUCAUUGAUAGGCUAGAUUUAGGUUGUUAGGGUUUAUGACUUUGUUUACGACACUGGGUUAAGGUUUCUGUAUUUUGGUCGCUGAAAAGUUAAGACUUGAUUAUUCGAUUUAAUUUAAGUUAUUAAUCUGUUUUUCUGACCAUUAGGCUAUUUGACCCGAAACUUUCUGGCUUUACAUGUUUGACUAGGUAAACAUAUAAAACAAAUCAACUCGUAUUUAGUCCGUUGAACAUGAUGUUUGGGUUGAGAUAACUGAAUAAGAAUUCUGAGGCAACUUGAAAGAACAUAGCUUACACUACUAACAAUCCAUUUGCCAGUAAGUUCAUAAGAUACAGACCUAUGUUGAAAAGCAAAAAUCCAAAAAACAAAAAAAAAAAAAAGAGAUGUCUAAAUUAUGUAAAAGUUGGAACUCAUUACCUGGUUUCAGAUGGGUGUGGGGGCAAUUUAAAAAAAAAAACAAUAAAAAAGCCCCAAACAAGAUUCGAACUUGUUAUGUCAGCUCUAGAAGGGGACAACUUACUCAUUGCGCCAUUCAUCAAUUUUCCUAAUGGGUUCAUCCCCAAAUGUUAUUUAUGGGUGCAUCCCUUAUUAUUUAAUAGCAUUUCUAUUAACAAUUUAAAACCGAGAGGGUUCAUGUGAACCCAUUGAACCCAGCCUAGAUCCGCCCCUGCAGAAGAUACACCAAACAAAUAUGGCAUAUGAGUGUAUCAUAAACUUGCAUUAGUUAUUCUUUGUUAUAUUCCACGAUAAUUCAGUUUGGAUAAAAGUAAUUUCUUCCAUCUCUUAAGUAUUAAUGCUUUUAUUAGUAGAUAAAAAGAUGUGAAAUCCAAGUAUGCCUUCCACCAUAGUUGUCAAUAGCGAGCGUAGCGAUCGCUAUAUAGCAUAUAGGUCUAGGCUCGCUAUUAGGGUUGUAGCGAUAGAUAGCGACAAUUUAUUUUAUUUUUUUGUUUUUUUUAAAUAUAAUAACUAUUAAAUAUAGCGAGAUUUUAGGUUUUUGUUAAAUAUACAUGUAAAAUAGCAUAUAUACCAGAGUAUUUUGAUAUAAUGUACAUAUUACUUUUUAAUUUUUUUUCUAGUGUAUUGCUAUUUAUAAAUAGCUACCUGCUAUUUAUCGCUAUUCGUUAUGUAGCAUAUAGACUUUAUUACUAUUUGUCAUUAUUCGCCAUUAACAAUUAUGCCUUCCACAAAAAAGACUUGAAAAGGAUCCCUUAGAAACAAUUGCUGAGCUUAUCGAGUCUUAUCAUGAGUUCAUGCCUGUUUGCAGUCACCGAAAACUGUCAUCUGAGCAUAGUUUAGACUUUUAGUACUCGAUUGGAGGCUAACAAGACAGAUUCAGAUUACGUCAAAUCAAUUAUCUAUGAAAAAUUGCGAGUUGUAAGUUCUUAUCUUGUAUUUAUGCUUCUAGUUCAACGUUUUUGAUAAGACCUUGAAAUUGAAAGAUAAAAUUGAUAGAAUAAUCCAAUCCGAGAAGGAUUAGAUCUCCGAUUACAAAGGUAUAAAAACCUUAAUUUUUUAUAAAUAAACAUCCACACCAUCAGCCUAAAUCUCUAAGGACUUAUAAAAACAAAAGGUAAAACUGUCCCAUGAUUUACUCCUCUAUUUCUGGUAACUAAAUAAUUGAGGUUGACCCGAGUUGACCCAUGACUCAAAAUAUGAAUCUGCUCCAUAACUGUGUCGGGUUUGACCCAAUUAAUUCUGCGGGUUAACCAGGAUUGUAUCAGUUUUUUUCAAACACCCUACUUUUUCGGUCUUUUGGUUAUCACACAAGGUACAUUUUAGCCUACAAAAUGAUCUUAAUAUUGAAUUUGUUCAAUACAUAACAAUUAGAACAUAAUUUCAGAUUUUGCAGCAAAUAUUAUUUAUCAAGUUCUAUAUCUUUGGUUCACUACUUUUAGUCAAGUUCAAUAUAUAUUACAACAAUAGAUGAGACCUGGCAACUAUGUAGAAACUCACGUUGAAAGCACAAAAGAAACUGGGAGAGUAAGUCAAAAGAAAAAAUGUGGGUGCGUGUUAGAGUGUAGUGCCGACGAAGAUGAGAAACAAAGAAAGAGUGGAAUCUGGUAAACACCAUAUUGAGACUCAAAACUCAACCAUCAUUCUAGAUUUGUCAACAAGAUUUGGUGAGCAUCAUUUUUAUCUUUUUGUGCAAAUUUUAAUGUCAGGGAAGCAAACCAAUUGGAAUCACUCUCUAGGCAGUUACUUUUAGUAAAUACAUUUUGUCGUCUUCUUCAUUUAGUUGUAUCAAUGGGAUUUGGUGUUCUACGGCCUACUUUAGGAGGUGUAACUUUGAAGGUGUUGCUUCUUCCUGAGUUGAGUAAUCUGCAUAAUUAUUAUGAAGUCUGACAUGGUCGUAUUAGGGGACACUAGUGAUAGAAUUCCAUCACUCACAAUAUCCAAUCAUGUUCCGCCAUGUCAGCAACCAUUUUUCCAUCACUCACAACCAUUUUUAGUGGCGGUGGUCAUCACUCACCACCACAUCCAACAAUUUCCCCACAACCAACAGCUACCCUCACAACUAACAACUAUCACGCCGUGAAAAAAAUCACAGAAUCGGGUUUACGUUGAACUAUCACGCGUGGAACUUGGAGUGGCGGUGGGAAUCUUCUUUUUUCCACGCGUUAUUUUUGUGUAUCACGGUGGUAUAACGCACCACCCCCACCUCUCUUAUUCUGCAAAUUUCGACUCGGAUAUGUAGAAGCAUGUGCAAACUUGAACUAUAAAGAAAGUUUACUAACGUUUUAGCUUUAUCAGUAUUGGUUUUUGUUGCUUGGAUUGGUUACAAGGUACUCUGCCUUCAUAUGCAUUCAAGUGAUUAUAUUUAUGUUGUACUUCAACGCAAGUGAUUCCUUGAGUGAACCAUGGAAACGAUCUUGAGUUGUGACAUGCCUUCUCUGGUCUCAUACCUGAUAUUCGUACUCAGAGGAGGUUGAGGAUAUACACCCAGUGGAAUCAAAGUAUCAGGAGUAUUGUUGAGAAAAAACUAGCAAUUAUAGCAGAUUAUGUGUUCGAGGUCACUAAAGAGGACGAAGGAGAAUGAUGCAACUACAAUUAGUUAUCAGUGUGUAAAUAUUUAGAGGUUGGAACAUGUUACUUGUUACACAAUAUGUUUUGGAUUGAACUUACAAUUGAGGAUAUAAUCUAAUGAUUUCUUCAUUUACAAUAAUCUAA